GGGCAGUUCAAACUGAGGUGAGGUGAGGUGGUCUGCAGUAAACCGGACUAACCGACAGAAGGCCCUGAGGCGUCGUUGCACUUUUUGGUUUUCCUGCAGAUGACCCUGAUGCAGCAACACAACUAAACCAGGAUUGGAAACCUGUCCCAUCAGCUCAUCUUUGUAAAUCAACAACUCGAAGGAGCUGCCCUCAAAUUCAGACUUCAGCACGAUCCAGUGACAGCAGACAAAUCUUCCCACAUUUUAACCGUUAAUGCUGAAUACACUCAUUUAAUAUUGUAGCGAAUUUACUGUAAAUCCAAAAUUAAUGGAUAAAAAAGGACAAAAGCUGUUUCAAUGAGAAGGUUAAAGACAAAAACAAAGGAAUGAUAUAAUAAUGUAACUGGUAUCAUGAUACACUCUAUUGCCAAACGUAUUCACU